GUCUACGGACAUGCCCACCCUUAAUGUGCCUGAUCUCGUCUAUCUCGGAAGCUAAGCAGGGUCAAGUACCUGGUUAGUACUUGGGAUGGGAGGCCCCCUAGGAAUACCAGGUGCUGUAGGUG
rnacentral:rRNA from 1 species